rnacentral:lncRNA from 1 species
GUGAUGCAGUUGAAUACAACAAUGGCUGUAGGUAUGCUGCAGAAAUAUCAUUCAAGUGAAACAGAAGGGCUUUCCUGGCCAGACACAGUGGUCAGUCCUGCAAUCCCAACACUUUGGUUGGCUAAGGUGGGAGGAUUUCUUGCGGCCAGGGGUUCAAGGCUGCAGUGAGCUGUGAUCCACCACUGCAUUCCAGGCUGGGCAUCAGAGUGAGGCCUCUCUCUAAAAAAAAAAACCCUUCACUCCCCAAAAAAAGGGAUUUGCAAAUACCAGCCUUUCAGCAUGAGGAUCACAUGGAGGAACAUUAAGAUACAGAUGCUGGGACCCAGCCCUAUUGAUUGUAAUUCAAAAACUGAGGUGGGGCCUGAUUUAGCUCCAUCAUUGGAAUCCAUUCCGAUUUGAAACUCUCUGGGUUGGACAGUUCAAGAGAGAUCCUAAAGAAAGCAAAAUCACUGUGGACUGAAAUGAGCAGACAAGGUUUUCUGAGCAUGGUGAAAUAUGAUCUGGGCCUCGCUUGGGAGGGCUGUGGCCAGGCCUUGAGUCCUUGGCUCAGUGGGACCUUCUGAAACAGCCUCCAAGCUGCGCCCCUGCUUCCUUUGCUUUUGGAUGACCCCCUCCAGCAGCUUUGGUGCUGAUGGGAAUAAGUCGACCUGCAGCGGAAGUUCAGCCCAAGUCUCAGCCCAGCAGCCUCCCCAAACCUGGCCAGGGUCUGGUCAUGCUGCCGUCUCUGCGGUUCUCUGUGGAGUUGUGGUUUCUGUACCUUGAAGAGAACUUCCCCUUCUGGGACCCAGAAACCCAGUGAACCCUCAGGAAAAAAGGGAAUGAAAUUACUGAAGACAACUCUGUGGCAGGGAGAGGGAAAAGAGGCUCUUUGUUUUUGUUUUUUAUUUUUUAUUUUUUUAUUUUUUGAGACAGAGCUUCACUCUUGUUGCCCAGACUGGAUUGUAAUGGCUCAAUCUCGGCUCACUGCAACCUCUGCCUCCCAUGUUCAAGCACUUCUCGUGCCUCCGCCUCCAGAGUAGCUGGGACAAUAGGCACACACCACCACACCCAGCUAAUUUUUGUAUUUGUAGUAGAGAUGGGGUUUUGCCAUGUUGCCCAGGCUGGUCUCGAACUCCUGGCCUCAAGUAAUCCACCUGCCUUGGCCUCCCAAAGUGCUGGGACUACAGAUGUGGGCCACCGUGCCCAGCCCUCACUGUAUGGAUUUUCUAAAAAAAAAAAAAGAUUACAUUUGUCUUACUUACGUUACUCCUCUCCUCUCCUUUUUAAAGAGUAUUUCCUUGAUAAACCUUGUAAUAUAAAUAACUUCUUUUGUGCCUUUGAUAUGUACCUAAAUCUUUUAAAAAGGUAAAUGAACUUCUUGCCAACAUUACAACCCAG